UUACGGUCAAAUCACGCUGAAACACCGGUUCUCGUUUGAUCACCGAAGUUAAGCAUCGUAGAGUCAGGUCAGUACUUAGAUGGGGGACCGCUUGGGAACACCUGGUACU
rnacentral:rRNA from 1 species